CUUGGUGGUACAAGCGGAGAGGCCACACCCGUUCCCAUCCCGAACACGGCAGUUAAGCUCUCCUGCGCCGAUGAUAGCUUUCAAGCAAAAGUAGGCCACCGCCAGGA
rnacentral:rRNA from 1 species